rnacentral:rRNA from 1 species
CCUACGGGUGGCAGCAGUGAGGAAUAUUGGUCAAUGGACGCAAGUCUGAACCAGCCAAGUCGCGUGCAGGAAGACGGCUCUAUGAUUUGUAAACUUCUUUUAUAUGGGAGUAAACUAAGGUACGCGUUUCUGUUUGUAUGUAUCAUAUGAAUAAGGAUCGGCUAACUCCGUGCCAGCAGCCGCGGUAAUACGGAGGAUUCAAGCGUUAUCCGGAUUUAUUGGGUUUAAAGGGUGCGUAGGUGGUUAGUUAAGUCAGAGGUGAAAUUUUGUGGCUCAACCCUGGAAUUGCCUUUGAAACUGGUCGGCUUGAGUGUAGUUGAGGUAGGCGGAAUGUGUGGUGUAGCGGUGAAAUGCAUAGAUAUCAUGCAGAACACCGAUUGCGAAGGCAGCUUACCAAGCUAUAACUGACGUUGAGGCACGAAAGCGUGGGGAGCAAACAGGAUUAGAUACCCGUGUAGUC